rnacentral:misc_RNA from 1 species
CAGGCUUGCUCGGGCGACAUUUCGAUCCUCCGGUGGCACCUCCUUGAAGGCGUCGCCUGAGGGUCGCGUGUUUCUCGUCUUGCGUUGGGACGACGCAUGAGUGGCUCUUUGGGCGUGAUCCCAGAGCAGGCUCCAUGCAUCUCGCAUCGAACUGCCCUGGUCCGUCCGCUUCAUUAGUUUGUCCGCCUCGGCCCAUUCAGGGUCGGUUGCGGCUGCUCGGUGGGUUCCUGUGCUCGAUAUCCUAAACGGCAGUCGGAUGGAUUUCUUGUCCCCGUCAUGGUUCCGUCGAUCCACCCCCGCCUCUUGCGAGUCGGUGGGUAUCGUCUUGCGGGCGCCCGACGUUUCUCCAUCGGGAAAGCGGACCCCCUCUCGGGCGAUUCUUCUCGUGAUGGCGCGUCGGUGCUGCCGGGCAUGCUCUAGGGUACGGUGGGGAUUUCGUUGGUUUUCACAUCGGUCCUCGUCGGCCGCUGUGAUCUGGACGUGUCGAAGCGUUUGCGCUUCUGCUCGCCGGACUCCCGCGCUUGUCUAAGGGCUCACGGGGCUUCACCGUUUCGUGAUCGUCUUGGGCAGGCAUGGAGGUCUACGGAGGGACGC